ensembl:snRNA U6 U6 spliceosomal RNA
GUGCUCGCUUCGGGAGCACAUAUACUAAAAUUGGAAUGAUACAGAGAAGAUUAGCACGGCCCCUGCGCAAGGAUGACACGCAAAACAAACAAAAAGGAAACACAGGG